rnacentral:rRNA from 1 species
UAAUACGGAGGAUCCAAGCGUUAUCCGGAAUCAUUGGGUUUAAAGGGUCCGUAGGCGGGCCUGUAAGUCAGUGGUGAAAUCUCCCCGCUCAACGGGGAAACGGCCAUUGAUACUGCAGGCCUUGAAUUAUUAGGAAGUAACUAGAAUAUGUAGUGUAGCGGUGAAAUGCUUAGAUAUUACAUGGAAUACCAAUUGCGAAGGCAGGUUACUACUAAUGGAUUGACGCUGAUGGACGAAAGCGUGGGUAGCGAACAGGAUUAGAUACCCUGGUAGUCCACGCCGUAAACGAUGGAUACUAGCUGUUGGGAGCAAUCUCAGUGGCUAAGCGAAAGUGAUAAGUAUCCCACCUGGGGAGUACGGGCGCAAGCCUG